UUGCCCUACGGGACGCAGCAGUGAGGAAUAUUGGUCAAUGGGCUUACGCCUGAACCAGCCAAGUCGCGUGAGGGAAGACUGCCCUAUGGGUUGUAAACCUCUUUUGUCAGGGAGCAACGCCGGCUACGUGUAGCCGGACUGAGAGUACCUGAAGAAAAAGCAUCGGCUAACUCCGUGCCAGCAGCCGCGGUAAUACGGAGGAUGCGAGCGUUAUCCGGAUUUAUUGGGUUUAAAGGGUGCGUAGGCGGAUUUUUAAGUCAGCGGUAAAAUGUCCGGGCUCAACCCGGGCCGGCCGUUGAAACUGG
rnacentral:rRNA from 1 species